UCUGAGCAAGGUGCAGGGCGGCUCCUGAGAAAAGGAUUCUACCUAAUUAAAGUUUAGCCUUCUGCCUAGAGACCCUGCCUCUGACUCAGGAUUCAGGGUGUAUUUCUGGCUUGGGAACCCAGCUAACCGCCUGUAUUGUUACCUGAUGUUCUGAAGUGACAAUGUAUCUGUUUGCAGGAUAUAAAAGGACAAUCAGAGAAGAAGGACUUGUCAACAUUUGUCCCGCCUUGCUGAGGAGAUGCCAGGAGAGGUCUCCCUCUCUAGUGUGAAUUAACAGACUGGCUUUGGUUUAUACAUCAGUCACUUGUGCAUAGGGGCAGUGUGAGUCAGGCCCAGGCCUGCUCGGGAAAGCCUAACAUGUGACUGCAAAGCUGUGGCCUGGCCUUGGGUGCUGCUUCCUGAGAGGACUGUGUCUAGGACAUCCUUGACAUCUCUUGUCUUAAACCAGCACGACUUUGCUAGAAAACUUGGAGUUAAACAUGUGACUUGCACUGUAUUUCUACUGGACAGCAGUGGAGAAGGAUGGGACCAAACACCAGUGUACCUGGGUGGGGCUUCCAAGGAAAGAGGAACGAUGUUCUCCUCCUGCACACACGGAUGCAACUGUAUGUGUGUGUGCACAGGUGGGGAGGACUGUUGCAUUACAGAGACAGAAGCUAAAGUCUGGCACACCUAUAGUGUCUCAGGCCCUCUACCACGCAGUGGCCAUGGUGGCAUAUAAACUCCAGACUGUCUGACUCCACAGACUGGCCUCUUCCCCUGCUGCCUCUCCCAGGCCUCCUGGACUCCACAUCCCAGAAGGAGGCUGGGCUCAGGUUGGGUGAGGUCCCUGGGCAGAGGUAUGCAGGUUCCAUCUUAUCAGACCUUUUAAUCUGUCCGUUUGAGUCCAACCUUUCAUUUUAGUGGCACUAAUGACCUUCACCUAUCUAAAUCUGCUACACUUCCCCAAGCCCCAAAUCUUUUUUCCUCCUGUUCCAGCCCCUCUCUGUUCCUGUGUGUUCAGGUCUCACAUUCUCUCCCACCUCUUAAAUGUUCCGUCUCCUAACACUGUUGCAUUGGGGAUAAAGUCCCAAAACAUGAACUUUGGCAGGCUGUCGCAGGCUGUAUCCUGAGCUUAUAAUCCUUACUAACCCUUGACACCCCAGAGUCAACCCCUGGCAUGGUGACAUUUCUCAGUAAGUGCUUGUUGAAAUAGUAGUAGUUAUGAUUACAGAAUGGCUACCACUGCGUUCCAAGUGCUCGUCUAGCCCUUCAUGUGGAUAAUCUCUAAGGCAGUGCAAUAAUUAGCUGAGCAAUGGUGCCUGAGGUUUAUAGUACAUAACACAUUGUUGACCAGUCACAAGUUACCCAGUAACGUGGAUAGUUUCUGUGAAAAAUUGCCAGUCCACAAUGUGUUAAGAUGUUAGAGAUGUGAAGUGAGUCUAUGUUAUAAGCAGCUGAGAGAUCAGGAGGGGAGAAAGAAUAAAACAGGCUGAAUUUGGGACAGCUGGGGAUUGAGACUGGGAGAAAUCAACCAGGGAUUAGCUGCUAUGUUAACAUGUUAUGAACUGGCAAUUUUAGAUAGAAACUAUCCAUGUUACCUGGUAACUCAUGAACCAUCAAAAAUGUGUUCACUGACUCCCCAAGUUCACUAGUUGGUAAUUAAAAUAACUAUAAUGUCUGGCUAUAAUGUUUAGUCUAAUGAGAAGAACUCUGGUGGUUCCUGCCUAUAAUCGUAGCACUCUGGGAGGC